ACAUGCAAGUCGAGCGGUAGAGAGAAGCUUGCUUCUCUUGAGAGCGGCGGACGGGUGAGUAAUGCCUAGGAAUCUGCCUGGUAGUGGGGGAUAACGUUCGGAAACGGACGCUAAUACCGCAUACGUCCUACGGGAGAAAGCAGGGGACCUUCGGGCCUUGCGCUAUCAGAUGAGCCUAGGUCGGAUUAGCUAGUUGGUGAGGUAAUGGCUCACCAAGGCGACGAUCCGUAACUGGUCUGAGAGGAUGAUCAGUCACACUGGAACUGAGACACGGUCCAGACUCCUACGGGAGGCAGCAGUGGGGAAUAUUGGACAAUGGGCGAAAGCCUGAUCCAGCCAUGCCGCGUGUGUGAAGAAGGUCUUCGGAUUGUAAAGCACUUUAAGUUGGGAGGAAGGGUUGUAGAUUAAUACUCUGCAAUUUUGACGUUACCGACAGAAUAAGCACCGGCUAACUCUGUGCCAGCAGCCGCGGUAAUACAGAGGGUGCAAGCGUUAAUCGGAAUUACUGGGCGUAAAGCGCGCGUAGGUGGUUUGUUAAGUUGGAUGUGAAAUCCCCGGGCUCAACCUGGGAACUGCAUUCAAAACUGACUGACUAGAGUAUGGUAGAGGGUGGUGGAAUUUCCUGUGUAGCGGUGAAAUGCGUAGAUAUAGGAAGGAACACCAGUGGCGAAGGCGACCACCUGGACUAAUACUGACACUGAGGUGCGAAAGCGUGGGGAGCAAACAGG
rnacentral:rRNA from 1 species